rnacentral:lncRNA from 1 species
GUUCUGGCUUUAGAGUCAAGGAUAGAAGAAAGGGGUUAAGAAAUCUCUCUUCAUGACUAAGAAAAGCUGCUGAGAUGUCCCUGCAUGGAGGCCUACAGAAGCCAUCAUGUAAAACUGAAGGCGAAGCCUAGAUUGUGUUAGAGACAAGAUGUUGGAGAUGCCAGAGCCAACGUCUACCUGAAGAGGAAAACUGCUAACUGGCCCAAGAGAAGUGUGAUGCAGUCAACAAGGCUGAAAGGAAUUGGAGAUCUGAAGAGUGUUUUGACAUCCAACAUGGAGAUGCAGAGUUUGCCUAAUUGGUUUUGGGACUUGUUUCAGUCUGGUAUUUCCUUACUGUGCUUUUUUUUUUUUUAUGAUUUUUCGAGACAGGGUUUCUCUUUAUAGCCCUAGCUGUCCUGGAACUCACUUUGUAGACCAGGCUGGCCUCGAACUCAGAAAUCUACCUGCCUCUGCCUCCUGAGUGCUGGGAUUAAAGUUGUGUGCCACCAUACCCAGCCUCUUUAUGCUUUCUUUUUUCCCUUUUGGAAGGGUAAUAUAUAUUCUAUGCUGUUGUAUGUUGGAAGUAUGUGAUCUGCUUUAGUUUGAUUUUACAGGGGUUACAGUUAAGAGAUUGCUACAAGUCUCUGAAGAAACUUGGACUUUUAAACAAGGUUGAAACUGUUAAAGACUAUGGGUCUUUUGAAGUACUAAAUGCAUUUUGCAUUAUGAUAUGGCUUUAAUUUUGACAGCUAGGGAGUGGAAUGCCAUUGUUUGAGUGAAAAUGGCCCCAUAGACUCAUAGGGAGUGGCAUUAUUGGAGGUUUAACCUUGUUGGUAUGGGUGUGGCCUUGUUGGAAGAAGUGUGUCACAGGGUGGGCUUUGAGGUUUUAGAAGCUCAAGCCAGACUCAGUGUCACUCGCUUUCUGCUACCUACUGAUUUAAAUGUAGAACUUGCCGGUGGUGGCAUACACCUUUAAUCCCAGCACUUGGGAGUCCGAGGCCAGCCUGGUGAAUUCCAGGACAGCCAGGGCUACACAGAGGAAACCCUGUCUCGAAACACCCCCGCCCCAAAAAAAGAUAAAUGUAGAACUUUCAGAUACCUCUCCAGAAUUAUGUCUGCUUGCAUGAUACCAUGCUCCCCUCCUUGAUGAUAAUGACAUCUAAAUGAAGGGCAGAAAAUGUGAUGAAUCAAAGAUUUGAUAGCACGAGUCAAAGAUAGGAUACGCCCAGCUCACAUGAGACCAGCAGAGGAAGAUAGGCUACUUAGCAUUGAGAGAGAAAAAGCAUGUGGCAGUGUGGUUUGUGUGUAUGGCAGUUUUACUGGGACAGUUUUACAGAGAGAGGUGAAGACAAAUGAGCCAAAGAAUGAGAAAGCCAGAAGAUUAGAACAUUAUUGCCAAAGUCAGUAUGAGGCCAGGCAGAGCAAUUCAGUCAGAAGCAGAGAGAAACUGGGUUGUGUAAUUG